GGGAUAUAGCUCAGUGGUAAACUGCUUGUCUAGCAUGUGUGAGACCCUGGGUUCAAUUCCCAGUACUCA
rnacentral:tRNA from 1 species